AAAACAUGUCUUUUUGAAAAUAAUAUAAAGUCUAAUCUGCCCACUGAUUAUAAAUUAAAGGGCUGCAGUAUAUUGACUGUACAAAGGUAGCAUAAUCAUUAGUCAUUUAAUUGAUGACUUGUAUGAAAGAUUGAAUGAGAUAUAUACUGUCUCUAAUUUAAUUAUAAAAUUUAAUUUUUUUAUUAAAAAGUUAAGAUAUUUUAAAAAGACGAGAAGACCCUAUAGAGUUUAAUUGAUUAUUAAUUUGAUUUUAUUUUGAAUAAUAAUAAUAAUUAAAUUUAAUAGUUUAUUUUAUUGGGGUGAUAAAAAAAUAAAUAAAACUUUUUUUAAUAGAAAACAUUUAUAAGUGAAUAAAUGAUCCAAUAAUAUUGAUUAUAAGAAAAAAUUACCUUAGGGAUAACAGCGUAAUUUUUUUUUUUAGUUCAAAUAAGAAAAAAAGUUUGCGACCUCGAUGUUGGAUUAAGAUAAAAUUUAAAUGUAGAAGUUUAAAAUUUUGAUCUGUUCGAUCAUUAAAAUCUUACAUGAUCU
rnacentral:rRNA from 1 species